CAAGGUUUCCGUAGGUGAACAUGCGGAAGGAUMAUUG
rnacentral:rRNA from 1 species